UGUCUUGUAAUUGGAAUGAUGGGAAUUUAAACCUCUUCCAGAGUAUCAAUUGGAGGGCAAGUCUGGUGCCAGCAGCCGCGGUAAUUCCAGCUCCAAUAGCGUAUAUUAAAAUUGUUGCAGUUAAAAAGCUCGUAGUUGAAUUUCUGCUGCAUUGCUUUUGCUCCUUUACGAGUCUUUGCAUUGUGGCUUAUUUCGGACUUUGUUUUACAAUGUCCGGAUGUUUACUUUGAGAAAAUUAGAGUGCUCAAAGCAGGCUUUCGCCUUGAAUAGUUUAGCAUGGAAUAAUAAAGUAGGACUUUGGUUCUAUUUUGUUGGUUUUAGGUACCAAAGUAAUGGUUAAUAGGAACAGUUGGGGGCAUUCGUAUUUAACUGUCAGAGGUGAAAUUCUUAGAUUUGUUAAAGACGAACUACUGCGAAAGCAUUUGCCAAGGAUGUUUUCAUUAAUCAAGAACGAAAGUUAGGGGAUCGAAGACGAUCAGAUACCGUCGUAGUCCUAACCAUAAACUAUGCCGACUAGAGAUUGGAGGUCGUCAGUUUUUACGACUCCUUCAGCACCUUGAGAGAAAUCAAAGUCUUUGGG
rnacentral:rRNA from 1 species